GAUGAACGCUGGCGGCGUGCCUAAUACAUGCAAGUCGAGCGAACGGACGAGAAGCUUGCUUCUCUGAUGUUAGCGGCGGACGGGUGAGUAACACGUGGAUAACCUACCUAUAAGACUGGGAUAACUUCGGGAAACCGGAGCUAAUACCGGAUAAUAUUUUGAACCGCAUGGUUCAACAGUGAAAGACGGUCUUGCUGUCCCUUAUAGAUGGAUCCGCGCUGCAUUAGCUAGUUGGUAAGGUAACGGCUUACCAAGGCAACGAUGCAUAGCCGACCUGAGAGGGUGAUCGGCCACACUGGAACUGAGACACGGUCCAGACUCCUACGGGAGGCAGCAGUAGGGAAUCUUCCGCAAUGGGCGAAAGCCUGACGGAGCAACGCCGCGUGAGUGAUGAAGGUCUUCGGAUCGUAAAACUCUGUUAUUAGGGAAGAACAUAUGUGUAAGUAACUGUGCACAUCUUGACGGUACCUAAUCAGAAAGCCACGGCUAACUACGUG
rnacentral:rRNA from 1 species